rnacentral:misc_RNA from 1 species
AAGCCAAUACUGGAAUUAUAUUUAUCCUGGUCCCAUUUUGGCAAUAUAUAACGUGGGAUCGGAGAGCCUGAAUCCUCAGCAACUUCUGGAGCUCUUUAACAGGGGGAACCACUCCUGGCUUUUGCACGGUAAAAGAAUAACAAUAGUUGGUUGAAAGCUGUUCGGCUGCUGUAACAAUCUGUUCCCCUUUCUCAGCCUUUUUAUCAUUAACUGUAGUAGCCCAGCGAACCAAAGUCUUUCUUAGCCCUUCUCCACCCCAUCGGUACUCAAUAUGUGAGUGGUAAUAAAAGUCAACCACAAAGGGACCAUCCUCUGAAUUAAGAUUUGAGUAAAAUAGGUCACUACCACUGUUGCAUAUAAAAGCAUCAAAAUCACUGGGACUAAAUCCCCCUGUGACCAGAAAUGAGUGUAUCUCAGAUAUGGUCAAAGACGUUGACAAUAUGAACCCUAUUGAGCCUUCAGUCCUUUCUUUUUCAACAGCCUCGAAAAUUUUUCUAGUUGCCUCUAUAAGCCCAGAAAUGGCAUCGAAAUCCACUGCAAUGACAAAAAUUUGUUUCCUCCUUCUCAAAGCUGGAAACUUACCAGAACUAUUGUAUUGUUCUCCUCUUUCUAUGUAUCCAGUCUUUUGUGUGUUCUUCAAAACACCCUUUGACCAUGCCAAAACAGCAUUCUCUAACUUACCCUUUCUAUCAGCAUCUCCUUCAGAUUCUAGAGAAUUAUCAUUUCCACUAGCUCCAGUCUUUUCUCCAUCCAAUGAGAACUUCAAGUUCAAAGAUAUAUCAUGUAUGUCCCUUAACGAAUCACCUGGUGAAUCUGUAUCUGAAGUAUCAGCUCCAUCAUUAUCUUUUUGCCACUGUGGAUGCCUUGGUUUGCAGCUGGCUAUUCGUGAUAGGUAAGUCUUGCAAUGCUCUGGCCAUGAGAAUAGGUGAAUAUUCUUCAAUCCAUUUUGUCGGCAUUUUGCCCAAAGCUGCUUGUCAGCAACAAGCUUUAGAAGAGCAUCAGCAAUAGACUGCUGAUCAUGAGGAUCAACAAGAAGACCAUUGUCCAGUACCCGGUGUAUGUCCACUGGGCCUCCAUUUUUUGUGGCAACAAUGGGCAAACCAUGAGCUGCUGCCUCAAUCAAAGUAAGCCCGAAUGGCUCAAUGAAGGCUGGAUUGAUGAAAACACCCUUUGUCUUUGCUGCUAGACGAUAUAUGUCAGGGACACCAGCCUGCUUGUGGUGUUUAGGGUAUGCAACUUGCCCAUACAGAUCAUACUUGUCAAUAAGCUUAAGCACUGAAAGAAGAACAGAAGCAUUUGUGCUUGACAUUUCAUCAAUUCCAUCUCGGUUACCCAUAAUUAGCGUAAGGUUAGCAAGCUCUCUUAAUGGACGACAUUCUCCAAAUGCUUUAACCAAAGUUGUGAUGUUCUUUUUGGGAUCUGGCCUAGCAAGGGCAAGUAUCAUAGGCUUACGAGGAUUCGUAAAGAAGCGCAUUAUCUCAGACCAUAUUGGUGGAUCAGGAGAAGUAGGAUGGUCCUCAUUUCCUUCCACUUCACCGUCCAUAUCCCCUUCUUGGGGAACAAUGUGAUGAAACUCCAUCCCAGGAGGAAUUAUAGCCAUGCGAGGCAUGAACCUGCCAUAACAGCUCACAUUACGCUUGAUUCUUGCUCGCAGUUUACGCUCCAGUAUUGGAUCAAAACCAUCAUAUAAGCGCCACUGCUCAUCAAUCUCCUGUCUAGUGCUAGUUAUGACUAUUUCAGAAGAAUCCAGCGAAAAUUCCUCAGCCUCUAUCCGACGCAUUAUUUUGUAUGUAGAAUUUAUUUCAUCCCUCGAUAAUCGGCCUUGUUUUAGUAGCUGUUCUAACUUAUCCCGGCCAAGUGAGUGACCAGUGAAAAGCAUUGGCACAUUUAAAGAACCUGAUAGAAGAGCAGCAGAAUCGCCUGCAUCAGCAUAAUGUCCGUGGAUGGCAACAGGCCAGAUUGGCUUCCCACCACCAAUUUGCUCUCCCAGAACUUUGGACAUCUGAAUUAUGUGGUUAAGAGCACCGUCAACAAAUUCAGGGAUGUAAGGCCACAAAUUUUCUUUAGGGAUGUAUUUAUCCUUUGUUCCAAAGGGUAUACGAACAAUAUAGGCACCACUGCUCUCCCCCAUCUCAUCCUCAGAAUCUUCUGAGUUUCUAAGGGUAAGCAUCUCUGUGGGCUCACCAUAACUCCAAUCUACAUCUGGUGCUGAUAAUUGUCUAGUUAACAAAUCCACUCGAUAGACUCCUGGCAUUGAGCCCAAAGCCCUUGCAAGUUCCACAACAUAUUUAACCUGACCACCAGUAUCGGAAUCACGUCCAAGCUCCAUAUUUUCACCUCGUAUUAGACCAUGAAGGCUUAUUAACACAAUGUACAGCU